AUGAUUAGACUACAGUGAAUAAGACUGAAGGAGAAAAUAAAGCAGUGAGACCGUGAGGCGAGAAGGCGUCCCAGCGGAACGAAUCAUGCAAGAGCAGCCGCACUUUUUCCAGCUGACCGUUUGAGUUGAUUUCCACUAUUCCCCUUGAGCAGGUCCCGAGGCAGAAGACGAGGUGGAAGACUGAUUUUUAAAAUGAGAGAAAAAAAAAACUGGUAUUUACAGCACUCGUGUCUGGCGAUCUGAGGAAAUAUAUACAAGGCGGUGUGUGAAAAAAGCUCGGAGGAUCAUCAGAGACUCCAGCCACCCGAGCCAUGGGCUGUUCUCACUGCUACCAUCAGGUAGGCGGUAUCGCAGCAUCAGGACCCGCACCAGCUGACUUCAUGAUAGCUUCUUCCCCCAAGCAAUCAGACUUCUGAACUCUUGAUCUCCCACGAUCAAAUACAUCAGCACUGCACUUUAUUACCCUUACUCUUAUAUCUCACACCGGACUGUCAUAAAUUAUAUUAUUAUUAUAUUAUAUUCUCUCUUAACAACUGACUAUCAACCGACAGCUGAAUGUCAAUACAGUACAAUACUGUACAUUCUAUAUAUACUAUAUAUACUUUUUUAUAUAUUUUUAUUUUUUAUUUUUAUUGAAUAAUGUGUAUCUAUAUAGUGCGUAUUGUAUACUGUACAGUGUAUGUUAUUAUUUGUAUAUUGUUGAGUGUAAUUAUGUGUAUAUCAGAUGUUUAAAUUGUGUUGUGUUAAUUUGAUGUUAUUGUAAAUUGGUACCGUCUCAUCACUGUCACGACUGCUAUGUUGAUCGGAACUGCACCCAAGAAUUUC